AUACAGAGGGUGCAAGCGUUAAUCUGAAUUACUGGGCGUAAAGCGCGCGUAGGCGGUUUAAUCAGUCGGAUGUGAAAGCCCCGGGCUCAACCUGGGAACUGCAUUCGAUACUGUUAAGCUAGAGUAUGGUAGAGGGAAGUGGAAUUCCAGGUGUAGCGGUGAAAUGCGUAGAUAUCUGGAGGAACAUCAGUGGCGAAGGCGACUUCCUGGACCAAUACUGACGCUGAGGUGCGAAAGCGUGGGGAGCAAACAGGAUUAGAAACCCUUGUAGUCC
rnacentral:rRNA from 1 species